rnacentral:rRNA from 1 species
UACGUAGGGUGCAAGCGUUGUCCGGAAUUAUUGGGCGUAAAGAGCUCGUAGGCGGUUUGUCGCGUCUGCUGUGAAAACUCGGGGCUUAACUCCGGGCCUGCAGUGGGUACGGGCAGACUAGAGUGCGGUAGGGGAGACUGGAAUUCCUGGUGUAGCGGUGAAAUGCGCAGAUAUCAGGAGGAACACCUAUAGCGAAGGCAGCUCGCUGGGACGACACUGACGCUGAGACGCGAAAGCGUGGGGAGCGAACAGG